ACAUAUGUGCUUGCCUUCACACUCUUCAUCCACUCAACCCCUGUGCACUUUAUCAGAGUUAGUAAUAGUAUUGUGGUGGCGGCCAUUUGUUGUUAUUCAUUGUUAGAAGCGGGGGUAACCCUGUCUGGCAAUAGUAAUGAUAAUAAUCUUGGUUCUACUACUACUACUACUAUGAACACUUUGACUUUUAUUUAUACAAACACUUUGCUUGUUCUUGUGAAUGUGUAAUGCUCCUUGUGAGCGAAAUACAAAUAUACAACUUUCAACAACGGAUCUCUUGGCUCUCGCAUCGAUGAAGAACGCAGCGAAAUGCGAUAAGUAAUGUGAAUUGCAGAAUUCAGUGAAUCAUCGAAUCUUUGAACGCACCUUGCGCCCCUUGGUAUUCCGAGGGGCAUGCCUGUUUGAGUGUCAUGUAAUUCUCAAUCCUCUUCUUCUUAACUGAAGAAAAAGAGGCUUGGACUUGGAGGUAUACACAAGCUGGUACUGUUUGGUAUCGGCUCCUCUCAAAUACAUUAGCUGGACUGUAGUUCGCGUUGUUUGGUGUAAUAGUUCUAUCUUAUUUCACUACAGUGCUUACUUAGACGGGUCUGCUUCCAAUAGUCCGCCUAUGUGU
rnacentral:misc_RNA from 1 species